UUAUUCACCCUUGUCUUUUGCGUACUUCUUGUUUCCUUGGUGGGUUCGCCCACCACUAGGACAAACAUAAACCUUUUGUAAUUGCAAUCAGCGUCAGUAACAAAUUAAUAAUUACAACUUUCAACAACGGAUCUCUUGGUUCUGGCAUCGAUGAAGAACGCAGCGAAAUGCGAUAAGUAGUGUGAAUUGCAGAAUUCAGUGAAUCAUCGAAUCUUUGAACGCACAUUGCGCCCUUUGGUAUUCCAAAGGGCAUGCCUGUUCGAGCGUCAUUUGUACCCUCAAGCUUUGCUUGGUGUUGGGCGUCUUGUCUCUAGCUUUGCUGGAGACUCGCCUUAAAGUAAUUGGCAGCCGGCCUACUGGUUUCGGAGCGCAGCACAAGUCGCACUCUCUAUCAGCAAAGGUCUAGCAUCCAUUAAGCCUUUUUUUCAACUUUUGACAUCGGAUCAGGUAGGGAUACCCGCUGAACUUAAGCAUAUCAAUAAGCGGAGGA
rnacentral:rRNA from 1 species